rnacentral:rRNA from 1 species
UACGUAGGGGGCAAGCGUUGUCCGGAUUUAUUGGGCGUAAAGAGCGUGUAGGCGGUUUGGUAGGUCCGCUGUGAAAACUCGAGGCUCAACCUCGAGACGCCGAUGGAAACCAUCUAGCUAGAGUCCGGAAGAGGAGAGUGGAAUUCCUGGUGUAGCGGUGAAAUGCGCAGAUAUCAGGAAGAACACCGGUGGCGAAGGCGGCCUUCUGGACAGUAACUGACGCUGAGACGCGAAAGCGUGGGGAGCAAACAGG